UACAGAGGUCUCAAGCGUUAAUCGGAAUUACUGGGCUUAAAGGGUCCGCAGGCGGACCAGCAAGUACCUUGUGAAAUCUCAGGUCUCAACCCUGAGUCUGCUAGGUAGACUGCUGGUCUUGAGUGCAAAAGGGGUCGCUGGAACUCUAGGUGGAGCGGUGAAAUGCAUUGAGAUCGGAAAGAACACCAACGGCGAAAGCACUCUGCUGGGCCGACACUGACACUGAGAGACGAAAGCUAGGGGAGCAAAUGGG
rnacentral:rRNA from 1 species